rnacentral:rRNA from 1 species
CAAUAGCGUAUAUUAAAGUUGUUGCAGUUAAAAAGCUCGUAGUUGGAUUUCUGGUUGAAGCGACCGGUCGGGCGUUGAUUCGUCUGCACUGGAGUCGGUUUUGGCCAUCCUCUAGGAAAGUGCGUCUGGUAUUAAGUUAUCGGGCGUAUGAUCCUGGUCUUUUACUGUGAAAAAAUUAGAGUGUUUAAAGCAGACCUUCGCCUUGAAUACAUUAGCAUGGAAUAAUAAGAUAGGACUUUGGUCUAUUUUGUUGGUUUGCAGACCGAAGUAAUGAUUAAUAGGGAUAGUUGGGGGUAUUUAUAUUCCGAUGUCAGAGGUGAAAUUCUUAGAUUUUCGGAAGAUAAACUUAUGCGAAAGCAUUUACCAAGGAUGUUUUCAUUAA